CCAGGAUGAACGCUGGCGGCGUGCUUAACACAUGCAAGUCGAGCGGAGAUAUGGAAAUCGGAGAGCUUCGGCAGGAAGAUUUCAUAUUUUAGCGGCGACGGGUGAGUAACGUGUGGGCAACCUGCCCUGUACUGUGGAAUAAUCACUGGAAACGGUGACUAAUACCGCAUGUCAUUGCGAGAGGGCAUCCUCUUGCAAGAAAAGGAUUUAUUCGGUACAGGAUGGGCCCGCAUCUGAUUAGCUAGUUGGUGAGAUAACAGCCCACCAAGGCAACGAUCAGUAGCCGACCUGAGAGGGUGAUCGGCCACAUUGGGACUGAGACACGGCCCAAACUCCUACGGGAGGCAGCAGUGGGGAAUAUUGCACAAUGGGCGAAGGCCCUGAUGCAGCAACGCCGCGUGAAGGAAGAAGGGUUUCGGCUCGUAAACUUCUAUCAACAGGGACGAAAAAAUGACGGUACCUGAAUAAGAAGCCCCGGCUAACUACGUGCCAGCCGCCGC
rnacentral:rRNA from 1 species